UUCUCCAAUUGAAGACAUUGCUGCAAGAACGAGCAAUGUCUUCAAUUUCUUUUAAUAAGUAAAAAAAAUUCAGAUCUCUUUCUGCAGAAAGUGUGAUCUUUUCGCUCUGUGGGAAGAGCUGAUUUAAAACGAUGUCUGGAUUACAUAGCGGGUCAAAGGCAGAUUGCACUUCAUACAACAUCAUUGGUUAUAUGUAUAACUUCCAUAAUGCGACAAAAUCGGUCUAUAACUAAGAUAAAGUCGUUAAGUUUGCGACGCAGUAUAGUAACAUAUGUAAUUAUUGAAAAUAUAAGACGAAUCUAAUGGCGUCAGAUUCUUGCGAUGUCGAGAUCAAGAAACAAUACAGGGUGAGGCAUUUAAAACUGUUUUUCAGAAUAUUUGGAAAAAUA